rnacentral:rRNA from 1 species
AUUGAACGCUGGCGGCAUGCCUUACACAUGCAAGUCGAACGGCAGCACGGGUGCUUGCACCUGGUGGCGAGUGGCGAACGGGUGAGUAAUACAUCGGAACGUACCUUAUCGUGGGGGAUAACGCAGCGAAAGCUGUGCUAAUACCGCAUACGCCCUGAGGAGGAAAGCGGGGGAUCGCAAGACCUCGCGCGAUUAGAGCGGCCGAUGCCUGAUUAGCUUGUUGGUGGGGUAAAGGCCCACCAAGGCGACGAUCAGUAGCUGGUCUGAGAGGACGAUCAGCCACACUGGGACUGAGACACGGCCCAGACUCCUACGGGAGGCAGCAGUGGGGAAUGUUAGACAAGGGGGGCAGCCCUGAUCCAGCAAUGCCGCGUGAGUGAAGAAGGCCUUCGGGUUGUAAAGCUCUUUUGUCAGGGAAGAAACACCGGCUCUAACACAGUCCGGGAAUGACGGUACCUGAAGAAUAAGCACCGGCUAACUACGUGCCAGCCGCCGCAGUAA